rnacentral:tmRNA from 1 species
GGGGUUGUUCUGGAUUCGACAAAACUAAGAGUAAAUAUAUUGAAGCAAAAAAAAACUCAAAUCUAAAUGACAAUAACAUUUUAAAUUGGAAUCGUAAGGUAGCUGUAGCUGCAUAAAAACUUCUAAGUUUCGAUCUACAUACUAAUUAUUAAGUUAAAUAUAGAUUAUAAAAUAACUUGUUACAUAGUUCAAUGUAACUAAAUUUUGUGAACAAAUAUACGACCAUAAAUUAUUAGUUUUGGACGUGGGUUCAACUCCCACCAACUCCACCA